rnacentral:rRNA from 1 species
GUGAGGAAUAUUGGUCAAUGGACGAGAGUCUGAACCAGCCAAGUCGCGUGAAGGAAGACGGUUCUAUGAAUUGUAAACUUCUUUUGUGCAGGAAUAAAGUGGGUUACGUGUAACCUUUUGUAUGUACUGUACGAAUAAGGAUCGGCUAACUCCGUGCCAGCAGCCGCGGUAAUACGGAGGAUCCGAGCGUUAUCCGGAUUUAUUGGGGUUAAAGGGUGCGUAGGUGGAUUGAUAAGUCAGCGGUGAAAGUUUGCAGCUUAAGUGUAAAAUUGCCGUUGAAACUGUCGGUCUUGAGUGCAAAUGAGGUAGGCGGAAUGUGUUGUGUAGCGGUGAAAUGCUUAGAUAUAACACAGAACUCCGAUUGCGAAGGCAGCUUACUGGGAUGCAACUGACACUGAUGCACGAAAGCGUGGGUAUCAAACAGGAUUAGAAACCCUGGUAGUCC